UGCGUAGGUGGUUGUUUAAGUCUGUCGUGAAAGCCCUGGGCUCAACCUGGGAAUUGCGAUGGAAACUGGGCGACUAGAGUGUGGCAGAGGGUAGUGGAAUUCCUGGUGUAGCAGUGAAAUGCGUAGAGAUCAGGAGGAACAUCCGUGGCGAAGGCGACUGCCUGGGCCAACACUGACACUGAGGCACGAAAGCGUGGGGAGCAAACA
rnacentral:rRNA from 1 species